GUUACUGCUUUGCAGCCCACCAGGUUGUUGUGGAGAAUGAAAAUGAUCUGUCUGGGGGUCUUUUUCUUUUUGGCAGCUUUCUCAGGUGUCAGCUCCCAGAUACAGCUGACCCAGUCUGGGGCAGAAAUCAAGAAGCCUGGAGAGUCUGUGAAGCUGACACGUAAAACAGCUGGUUACACCUUUACCAGCUAUUACAUUCAGUGGUUACGGCAGGUGCCCGGGAAAGGACUGCAGUGGAUAGGACUUAUCAAUCCCAACAAUGGAGGCACCCACUAUGCCCAGGCCUUCCAGGGGCGAUUCACCAUCACCAGGGACACUUCCAUAAGCACGGCCUAUCUACAGCUGGGCAGUCUGAGAACCGAUGACACAGCCACGUAUUACUGUGCUCGGGACACAGCUAUGGAGUAUUUUGGGGAGGG